CAGUAACACAUGCGUCUUUAAAUCAAGAUCAUUGUUUAGUAGCUGCAGGGAGUCCAUCAAGUCACCACCGGAACUGCAUGCAACAGGCAGAGAAUAUAAAAAGAACUAAUUGCAUGCAGCUGGAGGAGCUGCUCCUUUUGCUGUAGUUGCUGAAGACCAGGAUCUAAGUCCCAAGAGGACAUAAAGGUAGGAUUGACUGACUACUACAUACAUUUUUUCUAGAAAGAAAUCUUAAUUAUAGUUAUUUGUAUGUAAUUAUGGGGAGUGCCCUUACUGUUUUGUUUCUGUCUUUUGUAAUGUUUAUUAAUAUUAUACUUUGAAUAGUCAUUGCACAGAUGUGGUCCUUUCUUUACCUGAUGGUUAAUUAUUCAUAAGGCAUUCUGACAAACAAGACUUUUAUUUAUGAAGGACUCACCUAUGAUAUUAUGCACCAGUUACUUUAGGUUAUUAAAAACAUUUCCUUUUUUGUUUAUGACAGACAUGUUAGCAGUUUGGAGACCAUUCCAAUGCAAACAGCUUUGGUUCUUUUCUGUAACCUGGUGCAGCACUUCAGUUCUAGAUGAAAUAACAACCACUGUUCUCUUUACCCAUAGAACAGUGUGAAGUGCAGACAGCAGAAAAUAGAUGGGUAAUAAUUUACCAUGCUUGCUUGCUUCAAAUGAAGAGCACCUAAAGCCACAUGAAUCUAAUACAUUACCUAUCCAGGAAAAUUGGGCUUGUUCUCUCUUGUCUACCCAGAACACAUCAGGAGUGGCUUUAAGAAUUUAAUCCUCACAGCAUUCUUCAGCUGACACUCCGAGUGCAUGUCUUCUUUCUUUUACCUGUUAAGCACAUUUCUUUCAGGACAGGAAGAAGAGACUAUUUUAAACAAAAUUACAUGUGUUUGAAGAAUCUGUUAAAUGCAUUGAAUGUUUAUGUAUCAACGAGAAUGUUUGGAAUUACUUCGUUAAAUCAUGCAAUG